UGUGUCCAGAUGUACAUGUACAUCCCAUCCAAGAUGACGUCCCUACAAGGAACAGAAGCAAGGCUCUCCUCUCAGCAGCCACCCAUCAUACCUCCUGGAUGAAAUGCAGCCAACAACCACAUUUUUGCUGCUUGACAAAGAAGAAUGAGAGAAGAGGUACACAACCUUUCAGAGAACAUGUGGAUGAGGAGUCUUGGUACGCCACCCAUGUGGUCUGGGCUCAUCAGAUGUGAAGUCAACAUGGAUGUCAGUCUGGCCAGGUGAUCAGGGAUGGAGCUGGGUGGCUUUGUGAGGGAACUCAACAGGUUGAUGAACCGGAAUCAAAGAAGAGAAGUGAGGGCUGAAUCUACUGUUCCAAGUUCCUGCAGAUUCCUGAUUAUACAAGUGAUACUGAUUUGCUAGCUGCAGGUAAUAUAUAAGCUAUGUUGUGCUGUACAUGUGCAUAUUAGUAUCAAGCACUUACAAUAUUUCCUCCUUGACUUUAAGCUAGGUAAGCUAUGGUCCUGCAACGUAUGUGUUACACCUAAAUGUACUAAUGCAUUUGCCUAAAGGAAUGGAAUGGAAACCAACACCGGACAAGAGUAUAGUUAAGAAAACAGUUAUAUGAUACACAUAUAUAAUUUAUUCCAAGCAUAGCCAAUGUCAGAAAUGUUUGUGAUUGUUCUAUAAGUA